rnacentral:lncRNA from 1 species
UUAUCAUCGAGCUAAUAUAUAUUAUAAUAUAAUACACACACACAUAUAUAUUAUAUUAUAAUAUACAUAUAUACACGCAUAUUAUAUUAUAUAUUAUAUAUGGAUGUGAAUUCAACGGUUCACUCACUCUUGCAUUCCUUUUAAGAAAUUUUUUUGAACCAUUAGAUUAAUAUCCAACGGUAGGUAACCACACUCUCUUGGACUCCUAUGGUUCAAGAGAUCGGGACCGUAUAUAUAUAUAUAUAUAUAUAUAUAUUAUAUGUAUGUAGAGGGCGGAUUCGUGGCACUAUCUUUUUUACACAAGUUUUCUACCAUUAUAUUAUAAAGGAUUGAAUGGUAGAGAUUAUAUUGCCAUUGGAAUCCAACGGUUUCAAAUGUUGCUGUUCGUUUUAUUUUUUGUAUGCACAUAUAACUUAAAUCAACGAUAGGGAUUAAAUCUAUGCUAUUUUAACGGUAAAAAAAAAAAAAAAAAAGGUCCAAAGGCUGAAAUUUAAAUUCAACGGUCCAAAUAAUAUUUUAAAUUAAUCCAAAUCAGAUCCAAUCCCAAAUCUCACUCCAAACUCUAUAAGUACUCACUCAUUUCUCAAUUAAUCUACCAAAAACAUUUUUUCUAUUUCUCAAUUUAUUUUUUCUUUGUCAAUUUCAUCAAUCUCUUCCAUUCUCUUACUUUUGAUAUCAUUUGAAGCACAUCAUCUUCUUCAUUUUCAUACUUUUGGAAUAAAAUUAACUUUAUGGAAUUUCAAUUUUUUUUAGGUCAAACUGUUCAAAAAAUUAAAUUAUGACAUUAUUUAAAAAGAUUAAUGAAGAAAAAUUUUCCACCAAAAAAAAAAAACUUAAACCAUUCGUAAACAAUUUAAUAAAGUUGCGGUUUGAAAAUUUGAGUCCGGAGGGUUGGGAGAAUUUGGGUUUAGCCCCUCAUGGGUUGGAGAAGGCCUAAAAAAACACACACAAAACUUUGC